UGGUAGAUGCACCCUGGUUAAGCCCUAGAAAAUAUUCUGGGGCAUUUUUUA
rnacentral:sRNA from 1 species